GAUGAACGCUGGCGGCGUGCCUAAUACAUGCAAGUCGAGCGAACAGACGAGGAGCUUGCUCCUCUGACGUUAGCGGCGGACGGGUGAGUAACACGUGGAUAGCCUACCUAUAAGACUGGGAUAACUUCGGGAAACCGGAGCUAAUACCGGAUAAUAUAUUGAACCGCAUGGUUCAAUAGUGAAAGACGGUUUUGCUGUCACUUAUAGAUGGAUCCGCGCCGCAUUAGCUAGUUGGUAAGGUAACGGCUUACCACGGCAACGAUGCGUAGCCGACCUGAGAGGAGGAUCGGCCACACUGGAGCUGGAACACGGUCCAGACUCCUAAGGGAGGCAGCAGUAGGGAAUCUUCCGCAAUGGGCGAGAGCCUGACGGAGCAACGCCGCGUGAGUGAUGAAGGUCUUCGGAUCGUAAAACUCUGUUAUGAGGGAAGAACAAAUGUGUAAGUAACUAUGCACGUCUUGACGGUACCUAAUCAGAAAGCAACGGCUAACUACGUG
rnacentral:rRNA from 1 species